rnacentral:rRNA from 1 species
AGCAGUAGCCGCGGUAAUACGUAGGGGGCGAGCGUUGUCCGAAGUUACUGGGCGUAAAGCGCGCGUAGGCGGCUUCUUAAGUCUGAGGUGAAAGGUUCAACGCUUAACGUGAACAGUGCCUUGGAUACUGGGGAGCUUGAGUAUGGGAGAGGGCAGUGGAAUGGCUGGUGUAGCGGUGAAAUGCGUAGAUAUCAGUCGGAACACCCAUGGCGAAGGCAGCUGCCUGGCCUAAUACUGACGCUGAGGUGCGAAAGCGUGGGGAGCGAACGGGAUUAGAGAACCGCGUAGUCCCUGUCUCUUAUA